ensembl:lncRNA
CCGCCCUCUUCCUCUGUGGUCCAGGAAGGCCAGGAAUUGGGGAGCCCCUGGGCCUGCUGGCUGCAUGGUGCUUGGGCUGAGCUUUCUCGGGCUUCCCUUGCUUUUGAGGCCCAUGUACCAAGAAGACAGUCUCACCACCAUCCUAUAGUUCUGACUUGGGGUCCCCAGACCCCCUGAGAACUCCCUAGGAAUACGGAUGUCCGUGCAGACCCGUUGAAGCAGAAAGCCGGGGAAGUGGACCCAGCAAUGUCUGAACAAGUCCUUGCAGAGGCUCUGCUCCCUAAGUUCCUGGGUUCUCCACUCUGCCUGCUUUUUAGACGUGCAUGGGGUUAAAGAGCAGUGUCUAGAGCACAGCUUCAUGCAUCUGUUGCCAGAACUUUCCACAAAACCCUGCUGUUUGCACUGUAUCACCUCCAGGUAUCUCCUCGCGCACUAACUUAUGACCUAAUGAGGUCAUUAUCUACCUGAGUGCUUGCUCUUCCUCUCAUUCAUGCCUGGGCACAGGAGAAUCCUACCGCAGCCGCUGAAGCAUGCUGGAAAACCUGUCAGACUCAGAGAUUUCUCUUACACAAAAAAGCCCUGGGAUGUGAUUGGCUUAUGUGCGCCAGUGUGGGGAAGAAGAGCAAAUCUUGCGUAUUUGGGUACUGUGUCUGAAGACUCCUCUCCCAUUGUGCUGGGGAGCAGAACAGUGGAAAGAGGGCCAAGCGGGUCACGAAGCAGCAAAAGGUUUUCUGAGACUGGAAGCCAGAGCUGCUAGUCACCUGCCCAUUGUCUUGGUCUGUGGAAACAGAGCUUUCAAGCCUGAUGAGAAAGCAGUGUGCCUGGCCUGUACUUGGCAUGCAAACUAAGAGGUAAAGAGGCAGACAUGAGCCGGGAGGACCAAAGGCCAACAGAAAGUGAGAAACCAGGAACCAUGUUUCCCAGAUCAAAGAGAGAAAAGGAAAGGACCUAUUAGAAAAUGUGAAUGUCACAGUGUUUCGGCUUUCCAUGCCUGAAAUACUCUCAUGGGCUUUUUAGCCAGAUCCAAAUGCCUUAAUGGCUGAUUCUGAGGCCAGAGUGCUAUUUAGGACAUCUGCCAUUCUAUGAGUCUGCUGUGUAUCCCGCUUCCCAUGUUGGAUCUCUCCUUUUUAAUUUUAUCAGUUAGUAUUAGCAGACGUUAGUCUUGUUUAUGUGAUCCCUUUGACUCUUAAUCCUAUCAUUAUGAUCAAUUAUGAACUGAAACUGAUCACUUUGACUAGUGAGAUGGCAUUGGUACAUGCCACCUUGAUGGGAUUGAAUUGGAAUCUCCAGGCAUGUUUCUAACUCUACCGUUUGGGGCAAGUCUGAUUGAGCAUGUGCCAAACUGUACAUCUCCUCCUUCUCUUAUCUCCACUCUUAUAUUUAACAGGGAUAAAUUUUCAGUUAAAUUUAAACACCUAAGAAUAAUUGUGUGUUAAUUAAAGAGUUCAACCAAUAGUAUUUAAAAAAAAAAAAAAGACCUACAUGAAAGAUCUCUGUGAGUGAGAUCCCAGCAGAAAGAAUGGGCCAUCAAAGAAGGAGGUACCUUUUUCUGAAGGGAGGAGAGAACUUCCACUUUGAUUAUGGCCUUGUCUAAAUAAGAUCGGAGUUUGUGAACUCAAAAGGCUUCCAUAGCCUUGGCAACUCAUGACAAGAGCCUAGGGUGAUUACUGAUGCCAUAAACAAGAGUGUCAAUUGUUAAAUCAACAACAGGAGUCACUGUGCACUUACUCCCCAUGCAGGAUCUCUGUCCUGAAUGUGUUGUACUAUGUGAAUCAAUACUAUAACUAGUACUCAGACAGUAUUUUACACUUUGUGUUUCUGUGUGGAUGCAAACUGAUGAAAUCUUUACUUAAUAUAUACUAAAUUGAUCUUCUAUAUAUAAAGAUAAUUGAAAAUGAAUCUUGAUGUGAAUGGAAUGGGAAAGGGAGUGGGAGAUGGGAAGGUUGUGGGUGGGAGGGAAGUUAUGGGGGCGAAAAAGUCACUGUAACCCAAAAGCUGUACUUUGGAAAUUUAUAUUUAUUAAAUAAAAGUUUUUUAAAAAAAUGUGAAUGUCCCA